rnacentral:rRNA from 1 species
UACGUAGGGUGCGAGCGUUGUCCGGAAUUAUUGGGCGUAAAGGGCUCGUAGGCGGUCUGUCACGUCGGGAGUGAAAACACGGGGCUUAACCCCGUGCCUGCUUCCGAUACGGGCAGACUAGAGGUAUGCAGGGGAGAACGGAAUUCCCGGUGUAGCGGUGAAAUGCGCAGAUAUCGGGAGGAACACCGGUGGCGAAGGCGGUUCUCUGGGCCUGUACUGACGCUGAGGAGCGAAAGCGUGGGGAGCGAACAGG